UACGUAGGGUGCAAGCGUUGUCCGGAAUUAUUGGGCGUAAAGAGCUCGUAGGCGGUUUGUCGCGUCGAAUGUGAAAACCCGGGGCUCAACCCCGGGCCUGCAUUCGAUACGGGCAGACUAGAGUUCGGUAGGGGAGUCUGGAAUUCCUGGUGUAGCGGUGAAAUGCGCAGAUAUCUGGAGGAAUACCGGUGGCGAAGGCGGCAUCCUGGACCGGCAUUGACGCUGAGGAGCGAAAGCUAGGGGGAGCAAACGGGG
rnacentral:rRNA from 1 species